GAUGAACGCUAGCGGCAGGCCUAACGCAUGCAAGUCGAGGGGGAAGUUACUUUCGGGUGACUGAGACCGGCGUACGGGUGCGUAACGCGUAUACAAUCUGCCUUUCACUGGGGGGUAGCCCGAAGAAAUUUGGAUUAAUACCCCAUAGUAUAUAGGGACGGCAUCGUUUUUAUAUUAAAGCUUAGGUGGUGAAAGAUGAGUAUGCGUUCUAUUAGCUAGUUGGAGAGGUAACGGCUCCCCAAGGAGAUGAUAGAUAGGGGUUCUGAGAGGGAUGUCCCCCACACUGGUACUGAGAUACGGACCAGACUCCUACGGGAGGAAGCAGUGAGGAAUAUUGGACAAUGGUCGGAAGACUGAUCCAGCCAUGCCGCGUGCAGGAUGAAGGUCUUAUGGAUUGUAAACUGCUUUUGUAAGGGAAGAAUAAGGGCUACGCGUAGUUUGAUGACGGUACCUUACGAAUAAGCAUCGGCUAACUCCGUG
rnacentral:rRNA from 1 species